CGGAGGUGGGCGGGACGGGGGGAAGUAAUGUCUAGGGAAACGUCCGAUGGAGGGGGAUAACUACUGGAAACGGUAGCUAAUACCGCAUAACGUCGCAAGACCAAAGAGGGGGACCUUCGGGCCUCUUGCCAUCGGAUGUGCCCAGAUGGGAUUAGCUAGUAGGUGGGGUAACGGCUCACCUAGGCGACGAUCCCUAGCUGGUCUGAGAGGAUGACCAGCCACACUGGAACUGAGACACGGUCCAG
rnacentral:rRNA from 1 species